UUUUUCUUUCUUAUGUUCAUUCAGCUCCCAUUUCUCUCUAUCCCCUCACACCACUUCUCUCUCUCCCCAUAACUCCUCUUCUUACUUUCCCCUCAUGCCGCCACCCAUACCCACUGCCGUACCCACCGCCCUAGCCAUAGCCACUGCCUAAGCCACCGAUCUACUCUCUCUUUCUUCACUCCUCUCCCUCCUCCCCACCAUACCCAUGCCACAACCCAUGAAAAUAAGAGAAAGAUACAAAGACACAGUUGCACUCCUUCUUGCUAGGUCCAAUUUGUUGAUUAUUAGGAAUAUAGAGUGGAAUAAUCUUAUGCUUGGUUUUGACCAGGUUAACCACUCACUUAUUGUGAUAAGUUUGGGUUUUUUUUGGAAAGGUGUUUGCUUGGCUUGAGCAUAGUAAGUAAUUUUUGCUUAAAAUUUUGUACUUGAGAUAUUGAUAAUUGUGUUGGGAUGGAUUGUUGAGUUGGAGCAAGUGGGUGGCUUGCAUAGUGCUAUAAGGCGGUUUAUAUUCAUAUUGGGAGUGUUUAUUAUUUUUUAAAAAUUUGGAUGGAUAUUUUUGAAUUAUAUUUGUUGAUUACUUUUUGGAUUUCAAUACCUGUAAGCAUUCUAUAUUUGUGAUUAUGAUAAUUGUAUUGGGUGGAUUGUUGUGUUAAAGCAAGCGGGUGGCUUACAUGGUGUUAUAAAGUCGCUGCAAUUGAUAUUAGGAGUGUUUAUUAAAUUAGGAAAUUGAGUUAUGUUUGUCGAUUACUAUUUUUUUUCUAAUACUUGUAAGCAUUCUAUAUUUGUGAUUAUGAUAAUUGUGUUAGGGUGGAUUGUUGUGUUGGAGUAAGCGGGGGGCUUGCAAGGUGUUAUAAAGCAGUUUAUAUUUAUAUUGGAAGUGUUUAUUAUUUUUUGAAAAAUUGGAUAUUAUUGAGUUAUGUUUGUUGAUUACUUUUUUUACUUCAAUACUUGUAAGCAUUCUAUAUUGUGAUAUUGAUAAUUGUUUUGUGGUGGAUUGUUGAGUUGGAGGAAACAGGUGGCUUGUAUGGUGUUAUAAGGUAGUUUCAAUUGGUAUUGGGAGUGUUUAUUGAUUUUUGAAAAUUUUGAUAGAUAUUGUUGAGUUAUAUUUGUUUGAUUAUUUCAUUUCUUUCACAUGUCAAACAUGCAAACUAAUUGAUAAUUUUCAAGAGAUGUUGAUUAGUUACCAAAUGUAUUAAUAAAUUACGUAUGAAAUUAGACUCAUGCCUACACUUAGGACCUUGUGUGACUUGCAAGUCAUUUUCUCAAAUUUGGAAAUUUUGCCUUGUUUUCUUAGAAGCAUAGGUUUGUUUUGUUAGAGUAAUUAAAAUAUGGAUUAACCGUUGGUUUAUGCUUUCAAGAUAUCGUGCUAUAGGUAUUUAUUGUGUAAAUUUAUUCUAUAGCUAUGGACAAGAGUUGGAUGGAUAUUAGAGAUAGGACGUCUGUCGAAUAUAGUGUUUAAAUUUUAAUGUUUUAAGAAUGUAUUUAGUGUUAAGUGUUUAAAUUUUUUAAGUAUAGCUACUAUUAUUUUGUUACUCAAAAUGAUUUCUUUUUGAACUUCUUAGAUAUUCUUAAUUUGUAUUCAGGGUGGUUUUGGUUUAGAUUAUCAAUCUCUAACUCCACAGAAAUCACAAGCUUCAUCCCAUCAAGAAACUAGCUUAUCGCGGUAAAUGUAGUGUUUUAAGGACUCAAUGGGCUAUUAAAUAGUUGUUUUGAACAACCACAUUUAUUUUGGAAGUAUUGUACUUUUUGUUGUUUAUAUUGUCAUAGUUUGGGUGGUUUUUUUUUAGUAUGGGCUAUCACAUAGUUGUUUUGAACAACCACAUUUAUUUUGAAAGUAUUGCACUUUGUUUACAAUAUUGUCAUAAUUUGGGUGGUUUUGUUUUUGUAGAUAGACAAGUGUUUUGUUAAAUUCAAGAUGAUACUUUAGACACAUGUUAUGUAUUGGUAUUAAAUAUAUAUCUAUUUGCAUCUAUGUGAAAUGUUGUUAAUGUGUUAGUUUGAA